rnacentral:rRNA from 1 species
GGCGGCGUGCCUAACACAUGCAAGUCGAACGCGAAAGUCCCGCAAGGGAUUAGUAGAGUGGCAAACGGGUGAGUAACACGUGGGUGACCCGCCUUCGAGCGGGGGAUAACGUCCCGAAAGGGACGCUAAUACCGCAUAACAUCCUGCCUUUUAAGAGGUGGAGAUCAAAGCCGGGGAUCGCAAGACCUGGCACUUGAAGAGGGGCCCGCGCCUGAUUAGCUAGUUGGUGGGGUAAUGGCCUACCAAGGCAACGAUCAGUAUCCGGCCUGAGAGGGCGGACGGACACACUGGGACUGAGACACGGCCCAGACUCCUACGGGAGGCAGCAGUGGGGAAUUGCUCGCAAUGGGCGCAAGCCUGACGACGCAACGCCGCGUGGAGGAUGAAGACCUUCGGGUCGUAAACUCCUUUCGAUCGAGACGAAUGUUUUUCGGGUGAAUACUCCGGAAAAGUGACGGUACCGAGAGAAGAAGCCCCGGCUAACUCUGUGCCAGCAGCCGCGGUAAUACAGGGGGGGCAAGCGUUGUUCGGAAUUACUGGGCGU